rnacentral:snoRNA from 1 species
AAAACUAUACUUUCAGGGAUCAUUUCUAUAGUAUGUUAAAAUUGCAUUAUUAAUAUCUGCAAAUUACCAAGGUGAUUAUUUUAUAACUUGGG